GACGAACGCUGGCGGCGUGCCUAAUACAUGCAAGUAGAACGCACAGUUUAUACCGUAGCUUGCUACACCAUAAACUGUGAGUUGCGAACGGGUGAGUAACGCGUAGGUAACCUGCCUGGUAGCGGGGGAUAACUAUUGGAAACGAUAGCUAAUACCGCAUAAUAUUGAUUAUUGCAUGAUAAUUGAUUGAAAGAUGCUAUUGCAUCACUACCAGAUGGACCUGCGUUGUAUUAGCUAGUAGGUGAGGUAACGGCUCACCUAGGCGACGAUACAUAGCCGACCCGAGAGGGUGAUCGGCCACACUGGGACUGAGACACGGCCCAGACUCCUACGGGAGGCAGCAGUAGGGAAUCUUCGGCAAUGGACGAAAGUCUGACCGAGCAACGCCGCGUGAGUGAAGAAGGGUUUCGGAUCGUAAAGCUCUGUUGUAAGAGAAGAACGGGUGUGAGAGUGGAAAGUUCACACUGUGACGGUAGCUUACCAGAAAGGGACGGCUAACUACGUG
rnacentral:rRNA from 1 species